AGACAGCAGCAGCCGCGGUAAAACGAAGGGUGCAAGCGUUACUCGGAAUUACUGGGCGUAAAGCGUGCGUAGGUGGUUGUUUAAGUCUGCUGUGAAAGCCCUGGGCUCAACCUGGGAACUGCAUCCAAAACUGGCGAGCUAGAGUAUGGUAGAGGGUGGUGGAAUUUCCUGUGUAGCGGUGAAAUGCGUAGAUAUAGGAAGGAACAUCAGUGGCGAAGGCGACCACCUGGACUGAUACUGACACUGAGGUGCGAAAGCGUGGGGAGCAAACAGGAUUAGAUACCCCGGUAGUCCCUGUCUCUUAUAC
rnacentral:rRNA from 1 species